GGAUAAGAUGUUUAGGCCUGAUUUGCAGAAGAGUCAAACACCAGCACCUCCCAUUGACAAGGAGAUGGGACAGAGUGAGAAACAGAUCUUUGUGUUAAAAAAUAAAAAAUAAUAAAAUAAUAAAAUAAUAAUAAAAAGCUCCCUUCAGCGUUUAUUUUUCUACACAGACUUCAACAGGUUCCUAAGAAACAUUGGAAUGGAAAAAAAAUUCACUCUCAAAGACCUAGGGCACAGGGACCUGCAGUAAAUACUUGAAAAGCAUCAGCACUCUUCUUGGCAUGCACAGAAUGAAACUGAGAGCUAUGCCCAACAAUUCAUAUAAAUGGCUAACAGCCCAAGAAGAGAUCACCCACGACCUACAGGGAAGAUGUCCCAUGCAUAAUUGUCCUCCCAGAGGUGGAUUUGUACCACACGGAACCCAGAACAAUGGGGAACUCAUGAGGUGGCAUAAAACCGUUCUCAAAAUGUGUCUCUUCUCCCUUCCCCCAACACAGAAAAGCAAGAAGGAACUUGCAAUCUGUGAUCAAACAGCAUAUUCCUAAGAUAGUGUGCCACCAAGGCCACCAAUUCUUUGUUUGGAGUGAAGUGUGGUAAUUGCAUCUACUGGGAUAUAUGUCACACACCAGGUAUGUGCAGAUUAAGACAUUUUACCAGUUAUGUUGAUUUUAGUAUAGGAAUGACUAGUUUUUCAAAACUAGUACAAGAAUUUUACAAUAAGAGAAAAGGGAUUGUGGCCAAAUAAUAUUCACAAGAGCCUAGUAAAAUACCCCUAUCCGGAGAACUAGAAAAGUAUUUUAAUGCUGUUUGCUG
rnacentral:lncRNA from 1 species